ACCAAAGUGCAAAGUGUGAGGAAGCACUCAGAUUUUUCUGUCAAUGGACAAUGGGAUGUUGUUGUGGAGACUGAAGAGAAGCAAGAGACUUUGGUCUUUGAUGGGGUCUUAGUCUGCAGUGUACACCACACAGAUCCCUACUUACCACUUCAGUCCUUCCCAGGCAUUGAGAAGUUUGAAGGCUGUUAUUUCCAUAGUAGGGAAUACAAAAGUCCUGAGGACUUUUCAGGGAAAAGAAUCAUAGUGAUUGGCACCGGAAAUUCUGGAGUGGAUGUUGCGGUGGAGCUCAGUCGUGUAGCAAAACAGGUUUGACCAGGAGGAACUGCAAUUCAACAUCCUCAAGACUGCAAAAGCACCUAUAAUCAAACAACUUAGUAUGUUUCCUAAUUGUAUCAGCAUGCAGACAAGUUUACAAAUACAUUACAGAAAGAUUUGAAGAGUGGUUCUGGUUAUGUUCAGUUAAGCAGGACACUAAUCCUGAACAAUCUGAUGUAUUAAAGUUUUUAAUGUUUGUAUCUUUGUUUUGAUGCAUACAAUAUAGUGGAAGUCUAUAGUAGUUAAUAUGAUGAUAAUUCGCUUCUAAAUUUAAAUCCUUAUUUAUAUAUGAAGCAUAGUUAUGUCAAUGUCCAAGAAAGAAUUUGAAAAUAGUAAAUCAGAAACAUGUAAACUAGUGAAUGCAAUUUUUUAUUUUUCAUUCAGAAAUGUGUCAUAGACGCAGCCUUUAACUGGAAAUCAGUAGACAGCUCUGGUCAAGCACAGCAUAGCAACCACUGUGUAGUAUUUUACCACCUAAUCCUCAGUAGCCAGCACUGUUAAAUCUGCGCAAUGAGUAGUGCAUGAAUAAAAAUAAUAUCAUGUAAAA